rnacentral:rRNA from 1 species
AACUCUGAGCGGUGGAUCACUCGGCUCUCGUGCCGUCGAUGAAGAGCGCAGCCCAACUGCCGUGAAUUAGUGUGAAUUGCAGGAUAUCUUGAACAUCGACAUCUUGAACGCAUAUUGCGGCCUCAGGUCUCCCCUGUUGGCCACGCCUGGGCGAGGGUCG